CCGUUCAGUUCGUAUUUAGACGUGCGUGCGGCAGGAACAACUCGGCACUUGAGAGCCCAGCAAAAGAACGCUUCGCGCUGGCCACAAUUACUGGCGAGGGCCACCAAGUGGGCAAUAGUUGAAGAGUGUUAAUAAGCCAGCGAGUGUCUCGGAGUGCGUAGUGCGCGGAACACGUGCAUGUCCCAAAGUGGCUGGGAUUACUGGAAGACAGUCUGUCGAGCGACAGUGUGUGUGCGAUUGUGUGUGUGUGUGUGUGUGUGUGUAAAGUGUGUUAAACAAAUUAUUUACGAAACACUUACAAGUGCUUCACGCAAAAGGAUUUCAUAUACUGCCAGCCGCAAGUUUUGCUUGAAGGAUUAAAGCAUCUCCCACAGGACGAGUCAAAGCACCAAAAGGAUAUGCAAAGCAAACCAAAGGAUGCGGAUGAGUUAUUCUGGUCUUCGCCCUAAUUAAAAAGCAUUUCGCGUUGUGUUUUUGUCUAGUGCCAUGGUCUUAUAAAGUGAAUUUAAACAUAAAGUAAAUUGAGUGGCUAAUUGAAAUUAACUUGGGCAUGCGGCUGCUGUUACCACAACUGUUGCAUGCAACAUGGAUGGCGAAAAUCGGAUUAUAUUAAAUGUGGGCGGCAUUAGAUAUGAAACCUAUAAGGCAACGCUCAAGAAAAUACCCGCAACGCGCCUCUCACGUCUGACCGAAGCCUUGGCCAAUUAUGAUCCGGUGCUCAACGAGUAUUUCUUCGAUCGCCAUCCCGGAGUCUUUACGCAAAUACUCAAUUAUUACAGAACUGGUAAGCUGCAUUAUCCGACAGACGUCUGUGGCCCACUGUUUGAGGAGGAGCUAGAGUUUUGGGGACUCGAUUCGAAUCAGGUAGAACCAUGCUGCUGGUCAACUUAUAGCAUACAUCGCGAUACGCAAAACACCUUAGCUAUAUUAGAUAAACUAGAUAUUGAAAAUGAGAAACCCACGGAGGAGCAAAUAGCACGUCUGUUUGGCUUCGAGGAGGCUUUAAGCAACGGCGAGCUUAACUGUUGGCAACGUCUAAAGCCCAAAAUUUGGGCCAUGUUCGAUGAGCCGUCGAGCUCAACGGGCGCCAAGUUUGUUGCUGGCAUGUCGGUAUUCUUUAUAUUUGUUUCUGUGAUAUCAUUCUGCCUGAAAACCCAUCCCGGUUUUCGCGUGGACCUGCCCACCAGCUACAGCGCCGGCCUGCCUGCGUCUGGCCAUGAUCCGCUGGCGCCGCCCAUACCUCAGCAGCCGGUGCAACAGUCCCAGUCGCAGCCGCAUCAUCAUUCGCAGCAGCAGCAGCAGUAUCAAUACCAUCAACAUAGCAUAACGCCACCUAGUGGCAGCAUUGGUCCCACAUUUCGUGUCACGAACUACACGAGCUACAGCAGCGGCAACUUGAGCGCUGCACAGGCCACGCCCAUUGCCACCAUAAAGGGCCAACAGCAACGGCAGCGUCUGAAACGUGACCUAAACACGAGCAGCCUGAACGAGUUCCUUGAGGAUAAGCUACUCGGUCAGAAUGGACGCAGACAGCACGGCUGGAUCGAGACCUACGGCCAGCCGCACAAGGCCUUCUUCUAUGUGGAGCUCGUAUGCAAUGUUUGGUUCUUCAUCGAGGUUGUCAUCAGGCUAAUUGUUUCACCCAAUCUGUGGCAGUUCAUUAAGUCUCCCGUUAACAUUAUCGACUUUACGGCCACGUUGAGCUUCUAUACGGAUGUCAUGCAGCGCAUGGGCGAAUAUACGGGCCUGCUGGAGGCAUUUUCCAUAGUGCGCAUAAUGCGUCUCUUUAAGCUGACACGUCACUCGCCAGGACUACGCAUCCUUAUACACACGUUCAAGGCUUCGGCCAAGGAAUUGACUCUGCUCGUGUUCUUCCUCGUUCUCGGCAUCGUCUUCUUUGCCAGUUUGGCCUAUUAUGCGGAAAAAUUACAGGACAAUCCAGACAACCAAUUCAAGAGCAUACCAUUGGGCUUAUGGUGGGCCAUUGUUACCAUGACCACAGUGGGCUAUGGCGACGUGGCGCCCAAAACGUAUCCGGGCAUGUUUGUGGGCGCACUGUGCGCACUGGCUGGUGUCCUGACCAUAGCACUACCCGUACCUGUUAUCGUUAGCAAUUUCUCCAUGUUCUAUUCGCACACCCAGGCCCGCUCCAAGUUGCCCAAGAAACGCCGCCGAGUGCUGCCCGUGGAGCAGCCGCGUCGCAAACGGGAGCCGCCGGCACCGCAUCGAGGCCGGACCAAUGCCAUUAAACAGACAACGCCGACGGUGCCGGGCGUAGUAGGCGGCCAUACAACUAUACAGGCGCCUACGCCCAUGUUCAAGGAUGCAUUUGGCAGCGCCAAAAUUGGCAACGUGAACGGCGUGAAUGUCAUUGGCCUGCAUCUGCACAGGGCGCCGCCAACGACCUGCGCGGCCAACUGCCACACCCACGCGUAUGCAACAUACGCCCACAGUCACGGCCAAGCUCCGAGUGGCCAUGGCCAUGGGCCACAGGCGACGACGCUGAACGGCGCCACGGCCGCCAUGUCUGCGGGCUACACAGCAACAACGACGACGACGUCGACGCCGCUGCCGCCGCCGCUGCUGCUGUCGGCCGCUGGUGGUGCUGCUGCCCCUGCUCCUGCUCUUGCUCCUGGCCCCUCGUACAUCAGUUCGGACUACUUAAGCGUGCCGGCAGUUCAGAGUCUACAGCCGAGAGCGGCAACCACUGGACAUGAUUUUAUGCUGCCUCUACAGCCGAAACUUGUCGCGCCUCUGGAACGCAAAGAACAGCAUCCUUUGCAGCUGACCGCUCACAACUUGGCCUCGGAUACGCAUCAACUGUACGCCGGCCAUGCCCAUGGGCCCAAAGCAGGCACCGUACUAAAUGUGCCGCCCACCAUCAGCAUGACGCACACACAAAUGCCGCCGGGCAUGGCCAGCAUGGGGCAGCGCACACCGAAUCUCAGCUACCGGGCAACACAUACGCACACGCAUGCGCCCAUCCAGCAGCCCAUACCACAACACUAUCAGCACCUGGGCUCAUCAAGGUCAAGCGGUCUGGAGUCGACCAACUGCAAUAUCCAAAUCUCAGUAGCUGGUGCCGCUGGUGCUGCUUGUACAGAGGAACUGAAGGCGCCCAAAGUUACGCUUCUUGAUGAUCUGAGCGAUGAGGUUAACUCCUCAACGGAUGACUGCGCUGAUUGCUGCCUGGUGGAUGACAGUGAUACGUACGAGGCCAGCAAUAACAAUGGCUCCUGUGCGAAUCAGGAAGUCGAGCAGGAAAGCGCCACUGCCGAGGAUAGCGGUGACAGUUUGGGUGGCAUUUACAUUGGUCCCACCCAUUGAUUUUUGGCCAUUAAAUGGGAAUUUCCAUGCUAGGAAUUUAAUGACACAUAAAGGAAUACAAAAUAGAUUGCAUAUUGCAUUAAAAAGAAAAAACAUUUUUAUUUUGGAUUUUUGUUGACUAUGGGCAGAGCUGCACUAUAUUUGGGUAAACAACAGUUUCGAAGGGUCUAACUACAAAAUGCUUUUUCUCAGUGUAAUUUAUCAGACUACCACAUGCCUGAUUCUCUGGACCAGUCUGCGCAUUCUCACCACACAAUGCCGUGAGUGCCAAGUCAAAUGAAUUUCAUUGGAGAAUCUGAGCACAGAAAGCUCUGCACUGCUUAUAGAACAUAUAGUGCCGGGCCAGGCGAAGCAUCUGCAGCAUUCGAAUUGGAACCUACAUCAACAGCAAAGCGCUUGAAAUUCAAUUCGAAGGCCUUAAACAAUUUGAAGUUAUUAAAAGCAACGCGAAAAGUUUAAUUGGAACUGUUUGUGGCACUGGGGAGCAUAGAGCCACCAAAUAGAUGUGGCAUAGAGAGUGCCCACUACUUGCUGUUGCUAGCAGAUCCGUAGAUGUUUCACUGCGGACUGGCGCUAAGUGUGCGCAAUUGAAGGCAAUUGAGCAAUUUUGUAUGCUCAGAGCGUCAGAAGACGCAUUUGCAUAAAUACAUUUAUUUAAUAUUUAAAUUAGUUUCGUGGCAUUUCAGCCAUGCACUUAUGUAUACAACACCCCCCCACACUCGCCCCCAUGUGCCUGGUCUGCAGCAAUUCAUCCUGCGCCCGCACAUUUUUACUGAUAAUCCCCAUUGACGCCUAAGUAAUUGUCCUUGACGUGAGGCAAAUGCAGCCAUUCAGACAGAGCCAAGUGAAGUAGUAGCUACCGACUGCCAGUUUGGGUUGGCUUAAAGACAAUGAGGCCGGCAUCUGGAUUGGUCCUAAGUAAACCUAAUAUGAACAUCAAAUGCAAAUUGACAAGUUUGUUGGUUCAUUGUCGCGGCGGCUCCUGGCACAGGCAACGAGGCAUCCAUUUUAUUCGGCGCUCUCCUGGGUUGAAGGAUUCUAGGACUCCAAACGAUUUUAAGGACAUUUACGAAUCUAACGAGUCUAUUCCUUCCAGGAUCGGACGUAUUUUAAGCUAGAUAUAGCCAUUUUAUGCUAAAAUCGAAAAUCAUGCAAAAAACAACCAAUUUGUAAAUUUUA